GUGUUCAGGGCUGGUUUUUGGACGUAAGAGACUUCUCCUGUUUCUACAGCUAAUAGAGAAGUCAGCUGGUGGAGGAUUCCAGAGGCUGUUUUUAGGACGUAAGAGACGUCUCCUGUUUCAACAGACCAUAGGAAGUCAGCUGGUGGAGUCUCCAGAGGCUGUUUUUAGGACGUGAGACGUCUCCUGUCAACAGCUAAUAGAGAAGUCAGCUGGUGGAGUCUCCAGAGGCUGUUUUAGGAUGUAAGAGACGUCUCCCUUUCAACAGCCAAUAGAAGUCAGUGUGGUGUCUCCAGAGGCUGUUUUU